UCUUACACAUUCUCCAUAAAGAACAGCAUACAAGCGAUAAGGAUGAAAUCUGCAAAGAUGAGAAAGCGAAGGCUCUACUACGGUUUCUCCGAUGUCGUUCCAACCCUCCUAGGUGAUGACCCACAAGGUGGUAAAUAAUCCUGGAAGAAACCACAGGCAGUGAAAAAUAGCUACUUCAAACGACAAGACCGCAGCUUCUAAUCCUCUCGUGUAUGAGUGAAGCCCGUUGUAGCCAUUCAAUGUAACGGAAGACAUGUGCCAUCUUCAGACCUGCCUCAAUUGUUGAACAAGAUUCUCCACAUGCACACCCCAGACCCCUGUCCACACAGCAGGAUGCAGGAGGCUGAGAUGGAAAAGCCACAUUAAUUAUUAGAGCAGUAAAGAAGGCAAGAGCCUGUGCCAUGAUGUUGAAACAUAUAGUUAAAGAAUUUACUGUAAAAGAACUUCCUGCUUUU